UUAAAUAGUUAAUGAGCUUGAUAUAAGCAUAU
rnacentral:tRNA from 1 species